UGGGAGUGAGUGGGCGAACGGGUGAGUAACACGUGAGUAACCUGCCCCCUUCUUUGGGAUAACGCCCGGAAACGGGUGCUAAUACUGGAUAUUCACUGGCCUUCGCAUGGGGGUUGGGUGGAAAGGUUUGUUCUGGUGGGGGAUGGGCUCGCGGCCUAUCAGCUUGUUGGUGGGGUGAUGGCCUACCAAGGCUUUGACGGGUAGCCGGCCUGAGAGGGUGACCGGUCACAUUGGGACUGAGAUACGGCCCAG
rnacentral:rRNA from 1 species